rnacentral:rRNA from 1 species
AUUGAACGCUGGCGGCAGGCCUAACACAUGCAAGUCGAGCGGCAGCGGGAAAGUAGCUUGCUACUUUUGCCGGCGAGCGGCGGACGGGUGAGUAAUGCCUGGGAAAUUGCCCAGUCGAGGGGGAUAACAGUUGGAAACGACUGCUAAUACCGCAUACGCCCUACGGGGGAAAGCAGGGGACCUUCGGGCCUUGCGCGAGUGGAUAUGCCCAGGUGGGAUUAGCUAGUUGGUGAGGUGAUGGCUCACCAAGGCGACGAUCCCUAGCUGGUCUGAGAGGAUGAUCAGCCACACUGGAACUGAGACACGGUCCAGACUCCUACGGGAGGCAGCAGUGGGGAAUAUUGCACAAUGGGGGAAACCCUGAUGCAGCCAUGCCGCGUGUGUGAAGAAGGCCUUCGGGUUGUAAAGCACUUUCAGCGAGGAGGAAAGGUUGAUGCCUAAUACGCAUCAACUGUGACGUUACUCGCAGAAGAAGCACCGGCUAACUCCGUGCCAGCAGCCGCCGUAA